GGAUACGAAUGUCAAAUGGGUGCCGGUACGUGAAAAUAGCCGGCUUAAUAGGGAAACCGGUCGAAGCCGGUGCGGUCCCGCCACUGUAAUUGGCCUUUGCGCCAAAAGCCAGGAUACCUGCCUGUUUGAUCAACACGUA
rnacentral:ncRNA from 2 species